rnacentral:tRNA from 1 species
GGCCUCGUAGCUUAAGUGGUUAGGGCGUUGGUUGUACUAAAGCCUACCCCUUGCUGCCGAGGGUUCGAAUCCCUCUGAGGCCG